CCUCUUUGCCUGCUGUUUUAUUUCCUCACUUCCCCUCCCUGCCCCAGGAUGUGGGGGGCAGAGGAAGUUGCGGGGAGCACCUGUGUUGAGCCUCGUGGAUGCCCAGUGGAGGUGAUUGACUCAAUGAUGUUCAGAACUGAAGCCCCAAACAAGACUCUCUCCUGCUUUAACAGAAAGCUAAUGCAGCUCUAUUCCCCCAUCCAUCGUUGCCAAGAGGAGAACAAGUUCUUUCCCAGUGAGCAGCAAUAAACCCAAUUUGACAACUACAAAUGUGUUCCCUGUGUUCCCGGCUGGAGGGCAUUGACCCCUGUCACUAACAUGCUCCAAGGUUACAGAACUCAUUGCAUUCGGAUAUUUCUAAAAAUAGUCAAAAGAAAAUCAUGAAUGCAUGCCCCACUUCCUGAUGGGUCGAUGUCAGCUUCUCUCUGUGACGGUGAAACCACACUACCUUGCUGUCUUGAUCUGGUGUGAAGAAGAGACAGGAGGCGCAUGAUUGAAACGGAUCUGAUGGGAAAGACGAGGCGAGAGAGAGCAGAACAGGGAGCCAAGUAAGCCUACGUCUUCCUUCCCGUAGAGGGCUCCCAACAAAAUGUUUGGCAGCCUGGUUUUAUUUUUAUUUUUCCCUGUUGACAUGCGACAAGAUGGCUACAA